rnacentral:rRNA from 1 species
UACAGAGGUCUCAAGCGUUGUUCGGAUUCAUUGGGCGUAAAGGGUGCGUAGGUGGCGCGCUAAGUCGGGUGUGAAAUUUCGGAGCUUAACUCCGAAACUGCAUUCGAUACUGCGGUGCUUGAGGACUGGAGAGGAGACUGGAAUUCAUGGUGUAGCAGUGAAAUGCGUAGAGAUCAUGAGGAAGACCAGUGGCGAAGGCGGGUCUCUGGACAGUUCCUGACACUGAGACACGAAGGCCAGGGGAGCAAACGGG